AGGCACUGCUAUUCAUCUGGUUUCCUGUGUUCAGUCUUGUCACCUGCAGCCUGUUCCCAACAUCGCAGCCAGAACAGACCUUUUAUCCGAAGUCAGACCAUGUAUCUCCUCUGCUCAGAACAUGCCAGAGGCUCCUGUCUUCCUGAGAAUAAACGAAUCCCGUGAUGUGGAUAUUAUGAUCUGCCUUCUUACGGAUGGAAAAUGAAGGCACAGAGAGGUGAGGCGACUUGCGUAGCAUCACACAGCAAGUGAGUGGCAGAGCUGGGGUUUGAGCCCCAUCUACCAAGCUCCACCAGUUGGACAGGGAAGGUGGAGUGUGCCUGUCGCAGGAGAGCACGCAGAGAAGCAAGGCGAGACUGCAAGACACUGCCGGGAGAAUGAAUGGGUUAGAUGCAGACCCCGGGCUGCGUCCUUGCCUUCCAGAUGUUCUCUGUCAUGGCUCCGCCCCAGACUCCUCCAACACGCUUAACCACUUUCCCUGGAGACCACUCUGCUUUUCAAGGAGCUUUUUUCUAAUAUUGACCCAACCUAAACACUUCCCUUUCACUCGCUGGACCAAGGUUUGUGUUACCUUAACCCCUCUGGAUUGCACAACUCCCACUGAAAGCUUCAGGAACCCACAACUUCUCAAUAAUGCUGAACUGGGGGAAAUUUCCCAGUAACGACCUCCUCCGCCUGACUAAUGCUUCUUAGUUCGGCAAUGCAAUGUCCUAUUUUUAAGGAACCCAGUCAUUUGGUUUAGAUUCUUUAUUUGUUUUAUUUUAAUGACCUUCUGAAUCAUUCAUUUUUCUACUUUUGAACUGAUUCACUCUUUGCCACUUCCUUGUAUAGAAAUCCAACCCCUCCUUUAGGGCUCAGCACCAACACCCACCUUCUCCCGAAAAUUAUCCUCACACCACCCUCUCCCCAGGAAGAAGUUUUCCCUCCCUCCCCCAUUUCUGUGCCAUUCAUCUGGUAUUAUAUUAUCAUGAUCAUUAUCAUAAUGAUGAUCAUAAUAAUAAUAAUGAUAUGCCAGCUAUUUGGGUCAUUGCUUUUCGUUUUUGUCAUGACCCCAGAAGAAAGUGAGUAUUAUUUACAUUUUCCAGAAAGUGAAACUAAGCCUCAGGGAGUUUAUACCUUUUGCUCAAGGUCACACAAAGUAAGUGAUGCAGCUGAGGUGCCAGCCAGCGGAACCUGACUCUGAAGAGAGUGUCUUGAAAGGCGGCUGUUUGCAUGGGGUGCCUGGCACUGUGACUGGGGCGUGGGGUGAUUGCGCUUGCAAUAUGGAUGACAGACAAGACAGAAUUUGAGGAGACUGGGGCUUGGGGUGAUUAUGGUUUUGACGUCUGUCACCCCCCACUGGAGAGUGUGAGCUCCACGAAGCGUUCUGUUUCCUGUUGCACUGUAUGUAAUCGAUAUCUGGGAGCAAAUAGCUGAUGUUCCAUAGGCAUCGACCCAUGGCUGGAGGACUUCCUGUCCUUUCUAUAGUGGUAGCAGCUUGAAGCCUUACACAGUUUUGCAUUUCUUACAACAUCAACAGCUUGGUAGCAAUCUUGAUCAAUGCUCGUUGAAUGAAGGAAGUAAGGGACAGGCAUGGGCUUGGGGGCUUCCAGUGAGCUUAUUUUCUAGCUGAAAACAUUCGGUAGGAAGUUUUCUAGAAUGAUCUCUAUCGCUUAGGAUGAAUACUGUCAGAUAAGACCUCCUCAUCACUUUUUUCAAGUUAAAGUAACAAAAUUUUAUAGACUAAGGGUUCAAUUGAGUUUAUGCAACACACAUUUAUGGAUAUCUACUGUGGGCCAGGCCCUGCACUCAAAGACCAGUGCUGGAGACAGCUGUGUGAGCAAAGAGCUAGGCAGAGGGCCUUUGGGUGUCCACCCUCGCUCUCACUCCUUCGGGGAGGCAAGCUCCCUAGUGUCCUGAGAACAGGCAGAGUUGGAACCUCGGAAACAGGGGGAGAAAGGGAACAAUGGCCCUGUCUGGUCAAAGAAGACCAAGCAGUAAAGAUCUCAACCUCAUCUGGGCACGGUGGCUCACGCCUAUAAUCCCAGCACUUUGGGAGGCUGAGGAGGGCAGAUCACAAGGUCAUGAGUUCGAGUCCAGCCUGGCUAACAUGGUGAAACCCCGUCUCUACUAAAAAUACAAAAAUUAGCCGGGCAUGGUGUUGCACGCCUGUGGUUCCAGCUACUCGGGAGGCUGAGGCAGGAGAAUUGCUUGAACUCGGGAGGCGGAGCUUGCAGUGAGCCGAGAUCGCGCCACUGUACUCCAGCCUGGGUGACAGAGCGAGACUCCAUCUCAAAAAAAAAAAAAAGGAUCUCAACCUCCCAGCAGUCCCCGAGAAAGGAAACCAAGCAGCAGUGGGAGGCCUGGAGGCUGGCUUAUCUCUUGUGGGGCAUGAAGAGGGCGGGCCUUGGCCAUGAAGGGGUCACAGAAGAAUUUGAUGAGGUGGAACAGGUCUACGAAGGAUAAUAAAAAUGAAAGACUGUGGAGAAAAGAAAGAGAGAUCAGACUGUUACUGUGUCUAUAUAGAAAGAAGUAGACAUAAGAGACUCCAUUUUGUUCUGUAUUUGAGAUGCUGUUAAUCUGUGACCCUACCCCCAACCUUGUCCUUGCAAGAGACAUGUGCUGUGAUGACUCAAGGUUUAAAGGAUUUUGGGCUGUGCAGGGUGUGCUUUGUUAAACAAGUGCCUGAAGGCAGCUUGCUGGUUCUAGCGCAAUGCUGCUCUUUAUGCACUAAAAAGGUUUAUGGAGAUGUUUGCAUAUGCACAUCAAGGCACAGCCCUUAAACUUAUUCAUGUCACAGAUAACUUUAUCCAUAUGUCUUACUGCUGACUUUCUCCCUAUAAUGAUCUUAUUAUCCUGCCACUUCCUUUUCUUUAAGAUGGUAAAGAUAAUUAUCAAUAAAUACUAAGGGAACU
ensembl:lncRNA